UAACUGUGUGUUUGAAGUCGUGGUCGGGGCCAUAGAUUGUAACUAACUGAUAUUUCAGAGCCGUGGUCCAGGCCAUAGAUUGUAACUCACUGAUGUUUCAGAGCCGUGGUCGGGGCCAUAGAUUCUGACUUACUGAUAUUUCAGAGCCGUGGUCGGGGCCAUAGAUUGUAACUUACUGAUAUUUCAGAGCCGUGGUCGGGGCCAUAGAUUGUAAC